CCCUCUGCCUGCCUCACGGCUUCCUGGUUGAGGGUUCACACCCCUCAUUCCUCUCAGAUGAGUUCAGAACCCACUGUGGAGGUCGCUCUCCCGAUCAAGAGCUGGCUUUGGUGGACAAGCCCUGUUCAGGGUUGCAUGGCAGGAUGGGAAAAUGAGUCAGGAGAUGUGAAAACAUCCUUCCUCUCAGAGCCAGGGUUCCUCGUCCACAAAGCAGAGAUGGUGGAAGCCGAUGGAGACCACGGCAAGGCUCACAGAGGGAGGUCACAACACCUCCGCGUCCCUUUGUCCUGUCUGUCCGUGGGGUCGUGCAUCAUCGUGGCCCAAACAUGCGGCUCUCCAGCAGGGGUCGGAGACAGUCGGUCCUCAGUUUCUCCAAGCCAGUCCUGAGCAGCUUCUCAUCCUCAUCUCCUUGACGUCCACUGACAGGCAUGCGAGCAUCCUCACCCCCACAGCCAGCAGCCCCCCCUCAGGAGACUGGACAAGGAUACCCGGGCUUUCUCAGGAGGUCACAGGACCCACACGUGGACUCUGUAGGAAAGAGAGCUUGACAGGGCAAGGAGGAGAUCAGCUGAGGAAUAAUGGGUGUUCUCCCAAAGAAGGAGCUGGAAGGACCUGGGCUCAACGAUUCAUCUUGGCAUUUUGGGCCACGGCAAUGCCUCUGCAGCUUACGGUUUUUCUAGCAUACGAGCCUCACUUUCCUAAAGCAUAGACGCCUCCCCCCACAAUACUGUUUUGAGCACCAACCAAGAGAGCGUGAAAGUGUGGGUUCAGGAUUUGUGCUCCGGCCACCGCGCCAGCCUGCCGCUACACCUGCCUACCAUGAUGGAGAUGGAUCUCUCUGGAACUGUAAGCCCAAAUAAACCCUUCUUCCUUCUGCAAGUGGCCUUGGUCAUGACAUUUUAUCACAGCAACAGAAAAGUGACUAACAUACGUGUGUAUAAAAAACAGGGCCAUGACUGUCUGUAGUCACGGCCUCAGGAGCGCUGUGACCUUGAAACCUGUCCAUGCAUACAGAUCAACCUAGUCUUGGGAAGGCUGCCUGAUACUCAGGGGAUGGCUAACCACUGAACUCUUAUUCAUCUCACAAUGCCCGGCCCACAUUGCCCUCCUUUAAAGGAAGUCUUGCUACUUAGCAGACCUGGAGUGAAGGCAGUGGACCCUUCUCUUUGUUGUCUUGAAGUGUCAGCCUGGGAAGCUGGGGCACUGUUUCUCCUCCUUAUAUGAGGCUGGGUGCUUCCGGAAGGCUGCUGCCCUGAUGCUGACCUCUGAACUCCAGCUCUUCAUGGAGGAGUAACCGGUAUCCAGCAGGUGCUCAGGUGCAGCUGGGGGGAGACGGAGAGGGAACGAGGAGCAAACCCCCGCUCCCUUUAUUCAAGUGAGGACGGCGGGAAGACGUGUGGUUCCGAGCUAUAAACGGACCUGUAUUUUUAAAUGCACUGGGGGAGGGGGGUUCUAUUUAAAGGAGCCCUGAUGUAAAGCUUUUCUGUAAAAU